rnacentral:tRNA from 1 species
AUCCGAGUAGUAGAAUAGAAGAUACAACACACUUAAAUUAUAUAAGCGUAAUACUAUAAAGGUUCAAGUCCUUUUUCGAAUA